UCCCUCACGUGCACGCAGAGAACUGAGCCAGUAAAUACAUAGGACUUUUUUUUAGUCCACAGUAGGCAAAUGGAAGCUCAGUUAAGUGUGUUACCUAAAUGGAAAGGUAAAUUCAAUUUGCAAAAUGCUGUAAAGGUCCUGCCAUUCAGCAGGACUAGCAGAAGAGAUAAUUUAAAAAAUGAAAUCCUUUUCCUUAUUGCAUCAACGGCUUUCCACUGGCAACUCUUUAAAUAAGUGUGCAGAGAGGGGAAUAGGGGAAGGUUAGGUGUGGGUGCAUUGGGGGGUGUGGAGAAGGCAACCUGAAUUUCCCUUUUGGCAGCUUGCUUUGUCCUUUAGGUUGGUAAGUGCUCUGGGACCACUCUCUCUGGCUUUAGCUGACCAUCCUUUUCCAUCAGCUCUCCUCAUUUUUCUUCUUGUGUUUUUCUUCUAGCUUCUCAUAAGUCUAAAGGAAUGUGGGGAUGAGGGUAGAAGAAGAGUUAUGGAGUGAUUCAGGUGUGUCAGAGAAAUAUUUUGCUGCUUGAAAGUCCAUGCCCCAAAUUGUUCUUAUAUGAUUAUAUUUCAUUCCUAGUUGUGGGGAGACGGGAUACCCUGUACUAUCUAGUACAGUAGCCACUGGCCCCAUGUAGCCAUCCAAACACUUAACAUAUGUGACUAAAAAACUGCACUUUUAAAAAGAAAUUAAAAAAACUAAAAAAAUACAAAAGCAAAAGAAAAGUUUAAAAAAACCCUGAAAUUUUAAUUUAAUGAUACAUUUUAGAGGAAUGAAGAGAGAAGAUGUUUGUACAAGGAAGGGUGCUGGAAAGAAUUAUCACAAGAGCACCUGACCCUCCAGUGUACAAUCAACAAAGAAUCUGGAAUCAAAGAGUGCCAAGCUUCUCCAAGACCAGGAAUGCCUGGACUGCCUAUUCGAAAACCUUCAUCUUCAUUCUUGCUGGAGACAUUAUGUCGUCAGGAGGUUUCAUCACCUGCUGCCACUAGAUGGUGCCUGUCAUUGAAACAAAGGUUCUUCCUCCCAUCUUUUGUUUCCUUUAGGUGCCUAUAAGGACGUUGGAUGAUAUCAAAGAAAUUUGAUUGAUAAGUUAAGUAGUGGGUUAGUAUUCUAGAAGGUCAUUUAGCACAGAGAGUUAUUUAUUUUAUUUUGUAAUUUAUUUUUUAAAUUUAUUUUUGGCUGCGUUGGGUCUUCAUUGCUGUGUGCGGGCUUCUCAUUGUGGUGCCUUCUCUUGUUGUGGAGCACAGGCUCUAAGCGUACGGGCUUCAGUAGUUGUGGCACGUGGGCUCAGUAGUUGUGGCUCGUGGGCUCUAGAGCGCAGGCUCAGUAGUUGUGGAGCAU
rnacentral:lncRNA from 1 species